UACAUUGGUGGGGUGGUUGCCCGUGACUCUGCGGCGCCAUUUUUGGCAUACAGAGAGCGAGAGGGGAGGAGCACUGAGCACAUGACUGCUCUGCUCGGCUGCUUUCUCCUUCCUCUCCCCAGCGAAAACCCAAAAGAAAUCAAAAUGCUUUUGGUACAACAUUCAUUCGGACUGCUCUUGUCACCGUGUUCAACUUGGUAGUAGUUUGCAAGGUUGAUUUGAGGGGUACUGAUAAUUGGCUGGGAGUGGUGGACAACAAAUUGACUGUAUGGCAGAGGACACAGGAAUGAGUGGACUCCUAGGUGCAUUGGCUACAAAGGUUGACCUCAAGUUGUCAUUACUCAAAGAUGUUAUGGCUGAGUACACGGAGAUAAAACGUGUGAUCAAUGGGUUAGCCGAAGAAAAAGUGAGACUCCAACAAGAGAAGGAGAGGCUCCAGCACGAGAAGGAGAUGCUUCAGCAUGAAGAGCAAUCAAAUGGAGAGACUUUGGCAGCAAUGAAGGAGGACCUUUUGGCAUCAAAGGACACAUUGGUAGCAGCAAGAGAUGCACUUGUGGCAUCAGCAGAAGAGAUUUCUCAAAAGAACUCCUGCCUGGAGUUUCUAAAGAAAAAACUUCAAGAGAGUGAAGCCAAGAAUAAUCAAGCUGAGCAACUGUGUGGAAGUGCUAUGGACACUAUGUAUAUCCAACCAAGAGGAGUGCAAACAAGAUCAAUGCAAAAGAGGAAAAUAUUAUCCGAGGGACCUUUGGACUAUGGUGCUGAUGAAAAUGAGCAUACUAGCCAUCUGGAUGGCCCAUCUCGAUCUCCUUUGGAAUUGUUGGCAAAUCUUAGUGCGCCAACGGGAUCAAUGGAGAAACAGAAAGGGCUGUCUGAAAGACCUCUGGGCAGCGGUGCUGACAAUCUUGAGGUUACAGAAGAGCGCCCUAGGCAAGAACUAGUAAACAACCCACCUGCUAAGGAAGCCUCAUGUGUUUUUGUGAGCAAAGGAGAUGACCUAGAAGCAGUCAGAGGCGAGCUGAUCAAGGGAUUCCUUGAAAUUGAUACUGGAGGAAGGAUAAUUGGGAUAAAAGAAAUGGGGGAAUUGGAUGAGAAGGCAUUCGAGGCUGCUUGUCUUGCAAAAGUGCCUCCUGAAGAAGUUGGUGCAGCAUCUUCUCAGUUAUAUGCAUCAUGGAAGCAGCAACUUGGUGACCUAAGUUGGUAUCCUUUCAAGGCUAUCACAAUUGAUGGCAACCAUCAGGAGAUCGUGAAUAUUGAUGAUGAUAAGCUGCAAGAGCUGAAGAGGGCAUGGGGUUCUUGUGCUUAUAAUGCUGUGGUUAACGCAUUGGUGGAGAUGAAAGAGUACGGCCGCCUAAAUGACAGAAGCAUUGCCUAUGAGCUAUGGAACUUCAAGGAAGGGAGGAGGGCUACUACAAGGGAGUGCGUCGACUACUUGUCGACUCAGGUGAAGAGGCUGACUGUGACGAAGCGCAGAAAGACACGCAGGAGCGUCUGAUUAGUAGUAUGACAUUGAGACACUUCAUACUGAAGGGACAGGAGAGGUACUAGCAGAAGAAACAAGAGUAUUUCAAUAAAGAACUGGUGGAGUGGCGUGGCGUGAGCUACCACCCUUAACUCCCGAAGGAUCUGAAAGUAGCAACACAGGAACUCAAAGUUCUGUUCGUUUAUGUACACAUAUAGUAGGCUAUGUAUGGUACUGCUUCAUAAGUUCAUAUAUUGAAUCAGUUCUUCUGCCACGAGCUGUGGCUCCGAUUAGUGGAGAACCAGACUGCAUAGUAUUGCAAGGAACUCUUAUCCUAGCCUAACUAGGAGAUCAUGAAUUGUGUCUAGUAUGUUAUCCCCAUGGACCAUGAACUUUUAUGAUGUUCGUGUUUCUUACAUUAGAAUCUAACUCAAUAUUACGGUGUUCUGAAACACUUUGAUUA